rnacentral:lncRNA from 1 species
GACACUAUUCACGAAUACGACACUAUUCAUCAAAAAUUGAAAAUUUUUCUUUUCGUCCAAAAUAUCUAUUCUGGAUACUAGUUUUGAUUGUAUCCAUGUUUUGAUCAUUCUUGAAUUUUACACCACUAUGAUGAUUUUUGAAGUAUUUUUGGACAUGAAUAAAACAAAGUACGAAUCCUUAAUCCUUAAUCCUUGUCAUUUUGUUUCACUGGAUUCGUUUCUUUAAAAAUAUUUUUCAUCAUCC